rfam:Parcubacteria bacterium GW2011_GWA2_47_8 TY09_C0042, whole genome shotgun sequence.
GCGGGCGUCGUAUAACGGUUAUUAUAUCUGCUUGCCAAGCAGAAAAUGGCGGUUCGAUUCCGCUCGCCCGCU